rnacentral:rRNA from 1 species
GAUGAACGCUGGCGGCGUGCCUAAUACAUGCAAGUCGAGCGAACGGACGAGAAGCUUGCUUCUCUGAUGUUAGCGGCGGACGGGUGAGUAACACGUGGAUAACCUACCUAUAAGACUGGGAUAACUUCGGGAAACCGUAGCUAAUACCGGAUAAUAUUUUGAACCGCAUGGUUCAAAAGUGAAAGACGGUCUUGCUGUCACUUAUAGAUGGUUCCGCGCUGCAUUAGCUAGUUGGUAAGGUAACGGGUUACCAAGGCAACGAUGCAUAGCCGACCUGAGAGGGUGAUCGGCCACACUGGAACUGAGACACGGUCCAGACUACUACGGGAGGCAGCAGUAGGGAAUCUUCCGCAAUGGGCGAAAGCCUGACGGAGCAACGCCGCGUGAGUGAUGAAGGUCUUCGGAUCGUAAAACUCUGUUAUUAGGGAAGAACAUAUGUGUAAGUAACUGUGCACAGCUUGACGGUACCUAAUCAGAAAGCCACGGCUAACUACGUG